AGAGUUUGAUCCUGGCUCAGAAUAAACGCUGGCGGCGUGCUUAACACAUGCAAGUCGAGCGAGAAAGCUCCUUCGGGAGUGAGUACAGCGGCGGACGGGUGAGUAAUACACAAGAAUCUACCCUUCAGUGAAGAAUACCCCCAAGAAAUUGGGGCUAAUGCUGCAUACGUCCCUUCGGGGAGAAAGACGGCCUCUUUGCUGUCGCUGAUGGAUGAGCUUGUGCGCUAUUAGCUUGUUGGUGAGGUAAAGGCUCACCAAGGCGAUGAUGGCUAGCCGGCCUGAGAGGGUGUACGGCCACACUGGAACUUAGACACGGUCCAGACUCCUACGGGAGGCAGCAGUGAGGAAUAUUGCGCAAUGGGCGAAAGCCUGACGCAGCGACGCCGCGUGAAGGAUGAAGGCCUUAGGGUCGUAAACUUCUGUUAAGUGGGAAGAAAAGCCAAGCUCUAAUACAGCUUGGUAAUGACGGUACCACUAGAGAAAGCACCGGCUAACUUCGUGCCAGCAGCCGCGGUAAUACGAGGGGUGCUAGCGUUAUUCGGAAUUAUUGGGCGUAAAGGGUGCGUAGACGGCGCAUUAAGUCACCUGUUAAAUUCUUCGGCUCAACCGAAGAUCUGCGGGCGAUACUGAUGUGCUAGAGGAUGGAAGAGAGAAGUGGAAUUCUCGGAGUAGCGGUAAAAUGCGUAGAUCUCGAGAGGAACACCGAUGGCGAAGGCAGCUUCUUGGUCCAUUCCUGACGUUGAGGCACGAAAGCGUGGGGAGCAAACAGGAUUAGAUACCCUGGUAGUCCACGCUGUAAACGAUGAUCACUGGAUGUUAGUUUUGUUUACAAAAUUAGUGUCGUAGCUAACGCGUUAAGUGAUCCGCCUGGGGAGUACGGUCGCAAGACUAAAACUCAAAGGAAUUGACGGGGGCCCGCACAAGCGGUGGAACAUGUGGUUUAAUUCGAUACUACGCGAGGAACCUUACCUAGACUUGACAUGCUUUUGACAGCUGUAGAAAUACAGUCUUCUGAAUUUCGGUUUAGACAAUUGCACAGGUGCUGCAUGGCUGUCGUCAGCUCGUGUCGUGAGAUGUUGGGUUAAGUCCUUUAACGAGCGCAACCCUUGCUGUUAGUUGCUAGUUGAUUUAUCAACGCACUCUAACCAGGACUGCCUGGGAAACCAGGAGGAAGGUGGGGACGACGUCAAGUCAUCAUGGCCCUUAUGUCUAGGGCUACACACGUGUUACAAUGGCCAGUACAAAGGGUUGCCAACCUGUAAAGGUGAGCUAAUCCCAAAAAGCUGGUCUAAGUUCGGAUUGAGGUCUGCAACUCGACCUCAUGAAGUUGAAAUCGCUAGUAAUCGCGUAUCAGCAACGACGCGGUGAAUACGUUCACGGGCCUUGUACACACCGCCCGUCACACCACGAAAGUUGUUUGUACCCGAAGUCGUCUUAGCCAACCCGUAAGGGAGGCGGGCGCCUAAGGUAUGGGUGGCAAUUGGGGUGAAGUCGUAACAAGGUAACC
rnacentral:rRNA from 1 species